rnacentral:rRNA from 1 species
GAUGAACGCUGGCGGCGUGCCUAAUACAUGCAAGUCGAGCGAACGGACGAGAAGCUUGCUUCUCUGAUGUUAGCGGCGGACGGGUGAGUAACACGUGGAUAACCUACCUAUAAGACUGGGAUAACUUCGGGAAACCGGAGCUAAUACCGGAUAAUAUUUUGAACCGCAUGAUUCAAAAGUGAAAGACGGUCUUGCUGUCACUUAUAGAUGGAUCCGCGCUGCAUUAGCUAGUUGGUAAGGUAACGGCUUACCAAGGCAACGAUGCAUAGCCGACCUGAGAGGGUGAUCGGCCACACGGGAACUGAGACACGGACCAGGCUCCUACGGGAGGCAGCAGUAGGGAAUCUUCCGCAGUGGGCGGAAGCCUGGCGGAACAACGCCGCGUGAGUGAUGAAGGUCUUCGGAUCGUAAAACUCUGUUAUGAGGGAAGAACAGAUGUGUAAGUAACUGUGCAGAUCUUGACGGUACCUAAUCAGAAAGCCACGGCUAACUACGUG